UCCAGAAAUUUCGAUUAUCAGACGGAUUCCGUUUCAAGAUCUCCAUCGCGCAGACUGUCUCCGAUCUGUUUCCCGGCAAUCUGUUUUGUCUAGCCGGAUUUCGGUUUCUUGGUUUGGAGAAUUUUGGGGGAAAGCGAGGGGUAAGAUCGGAAAGAAAAGACUUCUGCAUGAGCUGGUCAGGAAAGCUGGGUUGUAAUAUAUUAUUGUCCUAUUCUUCAAAUUCUUCAGGCCAUUUUACGACGUGCCUCUUGAUUUUUAUUCUCCAUUUUUCUCCUCAGUUGCUUGCUUCACUCUUUAAAUUCGAGAACAAAUCUAUACAGCCGUUAC
rnacentral:lncRNA from 1 species